AAACUACAUUUUGAGAGGGAGUAAUCCCUGCCAACCUGCAAUAACCUGCGAAGGUGGUAACUUUAAUGUGGCUUAAUAAGCAAAAAAAGGUUCUUUC
ncrna:unclassified sequences SAM-I/IV variant riboswitch